rnacentral:rRNA from 1 species
UACGAAGGGUGCAAGCGUUACUCGGAAUUACUGGGCGUAAAGCGUGCGUAGGUGGUUGUUUAAGUCUGCUGUGAAAGCCCUGGGCUCAACCUGGGAAUUGCAGUGGAUACUGGGCGACUAGAGUGUGGCAGAGGAUAGUGGAAUUUCCGGUGUAGCAGUGAAAUGCGUAGAGAUCGGAAGGAACAUCUGUGGCGAAGGCGACUAUCUGGGCCAACACUGACACUGAGGCGCGAAAGCCAGGGGAGCAAACGGG